rnacentral:lncRNA from 1 species
GAAAGAUGAUGCACAAUCAGUAGAAACCGUGGGAAAGCCAAAAGCGAAACGAAUCAGGACGUCAAAAACAAAACAAGCAAGCAAAAACACAGAAAAAGAAAGUGCUUGGUCACCUCCUCCCAUAGAAAUUCGGCUGAUUUCCCCCUUGGCUAGCCCAGCUGACGGAGUCAAGAGCAAACCAAGAAAAACUACAGAAGUGACAGGAACAGGUCUUGGAAGGAACAGAAAGAAACUGUCUUCCUAUCCAAAGCAAAUUUUACGCAGAAAAAUGCUGUAAUUUCUUGGGAAGUUUUUAAUGUACACCUAUUUGUAAAGUCAUCAGAAUAGUGUGGAUUAUUAAAUAUCUAGUUUGGAAGAAAAUAAUUUAUAUAAAUUAUUGUAAAUUUUUAUGUAAACAGAAGGUCUUCAAUAAGUAAAGUAACUCCAUAUGGAGUGAUUGUUUCAGUCCAGGCAAUUUUUCUAUUUUAUAUUAAGACUUCAUACAUUUAUAUAUGUAAAUAUGGCUUAUUAAUGGAAUGUCAAAUAAAAUGUAUACUUCACAGUUGUUUGUGUCUUGGAUUUUUGAAAGGGAGGGGAUAUCUGUUUAAAUAGUUUUAUAUGCUCAUUGGUCUCAUUUUCUCUAUAAUUAAAAUACUAGACCAGUCUUAAAAUGGGGAUGAUUGAAGUAUUGAUAUUUCUUUUUACAGUUACUAUUUUAUAAUUUAUGCACUUUGAUUCUGUGAUUCAGAUUUCUAAUCAUAAAAUGUAUUUUUUUGUUUUUGGCUGUUACUAUGUUAAAAUUGAAUUAUGGGCAUGUAAUUUUGCCAUCUUUGUAGUUUCACAAAUUUUGUGUAAUCUACCUCAAAUGAAUAAUCCAAGUAUUGGUUAACUAUAAUGUUGGCAUCUCUUAUUCGGCAAGCUUAAAGGCUCUUUAAAGUCUUAAUUCGUCAAAGACUAAUCCAGGUUAGAUUGACCGGUUCACUGCUCACUUGCAACCUUAUCAAAGGGUUUGACAAAGGGAAAUGUAAAAUAAAUCUGUUUAUGGCUAUUGAGUGCAUCUUGUAUGUGCCUAAUAUUGAUAGGAUGAGAUGUCUGAACAAAUUUUUAUAAUAUUGCUGUGAAGGAGCUUGCUACUGAACCACAGAAAUCCCUUAAUAUUCAGGUUUUAAAACUGGCAAAUUCUCACAGGACCUCAGGCACAGAUUAUUGAGGUUGGGAGAGAGUGAGUAGAUGUAGAAAAGGAGAAAAACAACACACGCCCUGUUCUCUACAGUACAACUGUGUGCAAUUAAGCAAUGAUGGUACUUGAUGUAGGCUCUAACACUCAUCAAUAAAUAAGUGUUGUAAAAUAAUUUAUAACAGGUAAUCGAUAGUGUGUAAUGAAUGGACUAUUAAUUGAUUAUCUAGAAACGAACUGCUUUCGUGGGCUAAGCUUUUAAUAUUUUAAUGUGAAGCAUAUGCAGUGUGCUUUCUGCAUUUAUUUUUCUACCAAAUAAUACAGAUAAUGAGAAAUUGGUGAAAAUGCCUACGCCAAGUGUUGACAGUGUGAAAGUAGCAGUGCGAGUGCGGCCUUUUAGUCAGGUUAGUGAUGGAUGUUACGCUGCCUUGUUGAAAAUUUCACUGACUUUGAUUUUAUUACUUUUUUAAUGAUAGUUAUCAAACUUGUAUUUAAGCUGCUUGUCAUUUAUGGAAUAUUGAACUUAUUUAAAUGAACUUGUUAAAUGAAUAAAGAGCUAAACAUAAUUCAG